GUUAAUGUUAUUUCUCGUCAGUGCUUAUUUGUUAAAAAUCCAUUAAAUCCAUCGAAUCGUUCAAAAUGAUCUAUCUCGUAAAUUAUCUAGCCAGAAGAUAAAAAAAAAGUAAGCAAAAGUUGGAAAAAUUGUUUCGAAAGGUUCGUUCAUACACCGCAUUGUAUCUAACAUUCGAAGACCACAGAGGAAAUACAAUACAUGACACGUCACAUUCUUUCCAAAAAUCAGGAAAGUGACUACCGUGAUGAACAAUGUCGCUACUACCACUGCUAUUUUUCUCUUUUCCGCGUCUUUCUCUAGCUUUGCUGGUCUUUUUGCUAAGCCCGUCUGUCUCUCUUUCACCGUUUCUUUAUUUCUUUUGUUUCUUGCAUGAUUCUCCCGACCAUCCGGAUUCACGAACCAGCGAAUCGAAGAGAGAAAAGUGUUGGAAUGUGCAAUAAAGCGGUGUGGAAUUGCCGACGCGUACAAUAGCAAUCGAAGACACAAAGGUUUUUCUAUAAAUCCUCGCAGUGACACGACGCGCGGCCGUCCCCGAUUCGAUUAUCUUGUCCCGGGUUCUUCUGAUUUUUACGUUUGUUCUUUUAUUGCAAAUUCGAGCGCCAUCCGUCCGCUCGACGAAACCGUUGUUACGUUUCGACCUAUGCUCCCUUCAAAACGAUUUCAUUCUACAUUGCCAACAAUUUACUUUCUAGAUAAUUUGUUUCUAAACUUCCUUUUCCAUAGCAAAUAAACUCGAGUGAAAAUUCAACAUUAUAAUUACAUAAUACGCUCAACGAUCUUCCCCUAUAUUUCUAAUAAUUUGAAAAAUAAUUACAAACAUAUUCGCGAAUUGGAUAUGUUAUUGGACGUUAUGAAAAUAUAAAAUGUAAAAGAUUUUCGACUGACAUUUUUAAAACAAUAGCCUCAUUGAGAUAAUGAAGCUUGAACGUGACUUUGAAUAGCGAAUUCAGACAGCAAAAAUAAAAAUAUCAGAAAGUAAAAACAAUGAACAAAAAUAGAGAGGAAAAAUAUCGAUGCUUCGAGAUUAUGCAUUAACGAAAUUAAAAAAUUUACAUUGAGUAUUAUUUGCGCAGGUGCAUGUGGCAAAAAUAACGCGGGGCGAAUCUAUUUCCAUGGAAAUAUCGUGGCAGCUGUUAAACGAACUGAUUUCCAGCGAAAUUAAUGCAUUCAAUUGUAAACAGCUAUGAAAUUGCAAAUCUUUUUUAAUUAUGUUGAAAGCCACUCGGCGAAGCUACAAUCUAGCCAGGAAAUAACAGGCGGAAAGUCAGAUUUGUAGAUGGAGGGUAAAAAAGGCUCCCCUUUGCAAAAGCGCAAGCUUUUCGAUCAGAUAGUAGAUCACGUUUCAAAAAUUCGUUUGAAAAAUACUGCUGAUAAAUGAAUAUGUAUUACGUCAUUCUGAAAAUUUCCACAAUUUUUGUUGUAUCUGGGUUUUAACGGCGUAUAAAUAUUUCAAAUACUAAUGAAAUAUAGUCGGAUAUAUAUACAUACGCACUAUUAUAUUCGUAGUAAUUCGUACUUUCUUUCUUUAGAGUAUAAUAUAUCUUAUAUUGCAUAACAAAUCUUGGAGAAAAUAGAAAACUUUACAAGAAUCGUGUCAGUUGGGCAGAUUUUUAAAUUUUCCAUUUGCUUAACAAUUUUCUUACGCAACAAGAUUUAAGAAACUGGAAAAUAUGUUUCUACAUUGCGUCUCUCUCCCAUAGAAAUUUAGAUUUGGUCAUGAAAAUAACGUAUCGAACAUUAUGGAAAUUAGUUUGAAAGGUAAGUUCGAUUUCGAAAGAACUACGUUCCUUCGAAAUGAAUAGCUUAAAACUUAAUCACGGAAAUUUUCAAGAUGAUUUAAUAGUUUCAAAAAUAGAAGAAUAUUUUAUUAUCGAUUAAUAUAAUAUGUUAUUGAAACAGGAGUAGUACCUCUUUAGUUAGUACUUCUGAACUACCUAUUAAUCCAUUCGAGCUUCAUUUAAGAUUAAUUACCGAGAAUUGAUUUUCGGGACAAAUGAUUUUUAGUAUUUCACUGAAACGCUGAAAAAUUGAACGUUAGUCAGAAAGCCUUUCUAUUCAGAACCGUCGGUUGUACUAUAAGGAUAUCAUUGAAAUUCAUACGAGAUUCAUGGUACUUAUCCGCAGGGACAACGUGGCCUUAAGGAUACAAUACUACCUUAGACAACGUCGUUCGUAGGUAAUACUUUUUUAUAUCUCGCCAUACGCUAUUUCACGGUGAAGUUGAGAAGAUUAUUAUAUAAAUUUUAAUCAGAACCGUAGUUAACACUUAAUCGAAUCCCAAGAAAAUAAAUGGCAUUUCUAACGAAAUGAACUUGCUUUCUCAGCUCAAACAAAAAAGACUAAUAAAAAUAGAUUAAUUGGAGCCGAGUGCAGGUUGUAUUUCUUAUCCUGGAUUACAAGAAUCCGUUGAAACUUUCAAUUUUUCAUGGUAUUUUUGAGGGUUAGAAAACUUCAACCGCCAAUGAAUAUUCCUUAAAACGUUAAUACGUUUAUCGCAACUAGACGCUCCGUUGCAGGAUUUUGAAAUUUUUCUGGCUAGCACCGAUCCUCUACGUUAAAUUACUAUUUUCGAUUACGGACCAGCUAGCAUAAUAAAAGGAAGAGAGAGAGUCGCGCGAUUCAGGAAACAAUAUACCACAUCAGAGAAGGCUAUCAUAUUCCGAUAUUGUUUCGCCAGUGAGGUGAAUUCUCGUUUUACCACGUUCGCCGAUAAUACGCGGAUAAUGCGCCAGAGACAAUGUAUUUGAAUUUAAUACGACGUAUUGUGCGUAUGUUUGCCGUCGACGUUUGUCUCAUUGAUUCGUCAGCGUCCCAGAAACUAUGGCUGGGAAACGCGUCUCCCGAUCGGCCGACAAUUAGUCCGAACGCGAAAUUGUUCCACGUGGACCACAGUUACGAAAUCGCAGGUAAUUUCGCGACCGCUCGAAUAUCCCGCCGGCUUAUUACGCUCGACCAUUGUUCCGUAAUUGUUUUCGCGAUCGUUCCACCUCUAAUCGGACUCAACUAUCUCGCGGUAUGUACUGUUAUCGCAGUGAACUUACGACCUGUUCUUUUUGUACCGUGCGCAUAUGAAAGAGCUUUGUUCGGCCUGAUUUAUUCUCCGCGCUUCUGUCCUCCGAGAGCACUCAGCAAGUAUAUGUUUGAAGUUUGUUACGCAGAGUAUCUUGCUUCUAUGUAGCUGUUAGUACCUUUCGUUGCAGAUUGCUAGUCAACCGAUUAUAUCAGCAAAUAAUUGGUACGAACGGAAAUUUUAUAGCAUCAGGUACGAAAAUUAUAAUGCGAUCGUAAUGAUCAUUUACGCGUCAUACGGUAAGCAAGAAUUAAAUUUUCAUUUGCGUGUUUCUAAUAAUUUGCACGUUGUACGAUAAGGGAACGUUCGUUCUGAAAACAUCACUAAUUCUUAACUGGUCUGUUUAGCGUUAAAACGUUGUCUUCUUAAAUGUUGCUUGCCAUUUCAUUCGAGUUAAGAAAACGUUGCGCUCUUAACAUCGCGUUUAUCCGAUUGCUAGAAAGUUUAGGUGCAGCAACGGCAAGAAAAACGUCACGAGCGGAGAAAAUAUCGUGCCCUGCAUCAACGUGGAACGACGAGAAAUUCCGUAACUUAAUUAAAAGAUAAUCAAUUCGGGAAAACGUGAAACAUUCUACUCUGUUUUGAAUUCGCCUUAGUUUUACUUAGUUAGACGACUUUGUAAGAUAGGUCAACUAUGCUCUCGCAUAGUUUUCGAAUCGUUUUCGAUGAACGCAAUUAUUUUCGUUACCCAUGUCGGAUUCCAGAAAUAAUUAAAUUGCCAAAUCAGUUUCGCACGGCGUUGAAACGCGUGGGACAACGGCUUUAUCGAGGUUGAAACGGGAAUGGUCUCGUGGCUGGAACGCAACGAAAUUCCAUCAUGUUGUUCAGUGUGUUCCUCGUGUUUUCGUUUUGGUCUUCCACAAAGCGAACGCGCCAUGCGCCUUGACGCGAGGAGAAUAAAGAGACCGACGAAACAUCGGUAGAAAAUGAAACGAUCUCGCUUUAUCACGAGAGAGGUGCCGAAUAUUAAUUAGAAAUUUCAGUUGGUUGCAUUAUAUUACAUUAUUGCGUUAACAAUAAAUCGCAGUCGAUCGAACAAUUAUAAAUAAAUUAUUAUAAAUAAAUAUUAAAGUACAAAUUGUACAAAAGUGAUUACGUAUGGACGGUAUACAAUGAAAAAAUAAUAAUUUUAUUUUCUACUGCGCAAUUAUACAGAUAUCUAUCUGAAAGUAAUUGGUUUCUAACAAACAAAAAAAACUGUUUGUUCAAAACAAACACGCUUAACUUAUUAACAAAGUAGACGAUCUGAAACAUCUUUGCGACGUUUACUAUUAAGAAAGAUUACUAUUAUUAAAUUGCGUCGGUCUCAAAGCCAGGAUGUGAUAUAUCGUAUUUCGUUUUACUAUCAAAUCAACGUAACUUGUACUUUAACCAGCCAGUUCAAAACUCGGCUUGUUUAAUAAAUGAAAGAAACGCGGCAAUGCUUAUUACGCGUUUCUUUCUUCUUUCUCACAGACGCUCUCUUUAUACAAUUUUAAAUAGGACGUCAGUGAGUGUUGCCGCACGAACGAUUUCAAUACGAAGCAGGACACCAAAGUGGAACGCUGGCAUCGGGGCAAAAGUGGUAUUUCUCGCGUCGACGUCUCAUCGACGGUGCCAUUGAAAAGGAGAGACGAGCCUCGAGGAAACUCUUGAUUCGCGCGCGUGCAAACGCCGCUUUAUGAGGCUCGUCCGUUUGUGUCCGCGCGCGAUUCACCAACGGAAUGCAAAACGAUAAUGGUGAAUUCUAUGAGCAAGCCAUGCAAUGUGUAGUUUAAGAGUAGUCGACAGUUUUAGUGACAAUUUUGCCGCUGUUGAAUAUUUUUCUAUAACAUUGCCUUUUAUCUUCGAGUCGAGUUUCUUUCUUCUUCUUGUCGACAUUUCUUCCGACAAAUAACUAACUUCUCCUUAAAAUUAGUAUUAAGAUAGAAAUUUAUUCGAACAUCGAAAGAGCCAGACAAAAAAUGAAUGAAAAAUUUCGAUCGAUGGCAACGGUGUUGCAGCUUCGUAAAAUCCGGCUUUUCACGUUGUACACAUAAGAGAGGCACUCGCUAGAAAUCACCGGAUCGUUUCGUAGCGAUACGACAAAGUCGUGAGCUUUCUUCGUAAAAAUUCGCGGAAACAGGAUUUUGCACUGCAGCUGGAAGAAAACGCGGUAGAAAAUAAAGGUGGCUGCAACUGCGUUCGUAUGAAAUUGAGUUUUGCAUACGAGAACUGAAGGAGUCGGGUUCCAUGUAUACACGUGGAUCCAAACGCGUUUACAAAUUUCAGUUACAACACGUUUCUACUUACGCCUUGUUACCUCCGCAGAAAACGCGUACAUUUGCAUCGAUGUAAUUCUACAACUUCCAUUUCACUUCGUUGCGAUCUUUGCUUUAUCACUUUGUUGCAACUGAUACUUCGUCGAACCGUAUAUUUUGUUGACACGUGUUAUCAAAUUUAGUAAUUUAAAUUAGGAUAAUAAAUUGUAACGAGAGAAAUAUUAUCGUACUUGUAAUUAACGUUAUUUAGUCGAAUCGUAUCUUGCUUUUCAUUUUUUCUCUUUUAUCUCAACCUUUUCUUUCUUCCUUCCCUUUCCCUGUUGUUCUUUCCUCUUAUUUCGUUCGAUGUUUCUUUCUUUCCGUCAUUCUCUCCUCUUUAUCGCUUCAUUUUCCUGUUUCUCGUUUCUUCGUAACAUUACUUUUCAUAGAAAUAUUAUUUUUGACACUCGACGCCAUUUAACGAUAACUACGAUUCAAACAAACGUAAUCUAUUGUCAUGAUCUGUUCGCUGCAAAACUUGUAAUUGAUCUGUAUACGAUUGUUCGAAAAUAGGAGGAACAAUUAAUCGAAUCGGAUUAAAUAGAAUAACGCGUAGACCGAUGUCGAUUCAGCAAGAAGCCACCAACGAUGAACAGUGAUAACUGAUAUCAACGCGUCCCUACAUCGCACUUAAGCCGCCAUCGCGCCUUCUUCCUUUAUCAGAUGACCCAGUUUGCUAACUUUCUUCCUGGCACCACCAGACGUACCUCCGUAAUAGAUUUACCCGGACUGAACUGUGGAGAUAGUAGCAUGCCCAUCUACGAUAAGAACUUUCCUGUUUUCUAUUUAGACUGUCGAUGUUAUAUAUAACUGGCAAUUUAUACAUGUACGUAUAGGAUAAAGCCGUACGAUUAUAAGCAUAAUAUUUUUCAAAUAAUAGUUUAUAAUCAACGAUGAGCGCUAUUCUAUGCUACAAGUAUUUUAAUUCUAUCAUAACGUAACAAUACCAGUGCAUAUCAUAAUAUAUGAUGAAUUCGUGAUUUCUUAUUGUUCUAUAUUGCAAAUAUUUAGUUCAAUUACAACGUAAAACUUUAAAUAUUUAAAUACAAAACAUUUAAUCUUCGUAAUUACAGAAAGAAAACCAUAGGAAUUACACGUUAACUAAUAACCGUUCGAAAAAAGGCACAGUUCAACUUAGAGCUGCGUGACUUCAAGUAGAAUAAGCGUCGUGUAGUCAGACUACCGCAUUAUGAAAAAUUUGACUCCCAUAUUCUUCCUAUUAAAUAACGUUAUUAAAUAUAUUUCUUAUACUUUGAAGUACUUUACAUUUUUUGUUUGACUAAUAAUCAGUGAUUAUUCAUCACGGGGACUAAAUUAUUAUCGAAUAGAAUUAAUGGAUACGUUUUCAAAACUUUCACGGACCAUUUUCAAAGUUGGUCGCGCUAACAAAAUUGUGAGUUAUUGUUGCUUUUAAUUAAUUACUACUGAUUACUAAUAAAAAAAAGUUUAUAAGACUUUGUAUUGAGUUUUUAUACAAAACUCUAUACACAGGAUUUGAAGAAGCUUAUAUGGUAUUCAUGACGAUCGUGACUCACAACAAAGCAAUCGUAUCGUAUUCAUGAAACCCAAUUUAUAUAGUGGUACAUUUGUGAAAGUCGAAGCGGAUAAUAUCGAAUAGUUCACGUAUGCUUAUUGUUAUUGCUAGUAUUAGUACAUUGCUGUACUUACAUAAAUAUAUGUAUGUAUAUUUGUUUAGUUUACCGAAUGAGUUUACGUGGCCAACAUAAACGACAGCGGAUUACGAAAAUAAAUUAACGCUAUGGAAUAUAAAAUGUUUCACAAAUAUUUGAUAAAAAGAUCCGCGUAAGUCGACACGCAUAAUCACAUACAUAUUCGGAUAAUGUACGGAUUUUUGUUAACCUCGAAUAUGACAAAACUAUCGUAAGGAUCGGACCACGAAGGGUCGAAUGAUUCAAUAAUCUAACGAAUUUAUGGUAAGUAGUAGUCGAAUGCUAGUCUCCUGAGUUCAUCUAAAUUUGGAACUACUCGAGUGUAGGAUUUUGAAAACCUCAAGAGUAUCGUUGGAUUCUAUGGGAUCAGCGGUUCAGGAUUACUGUAAAAUUCUACAGCUUCGACUCCUCCAUAUGAUAACAUUACCCUGGAGAAAUAGAAAUUUGAAGUUUCAUCUAAUAAUUGAAACUUUGCUCAAUGGAAAAUUACAGACAUAUAAUUACAGGCCGAAUUUGCAAGUUGCUAACGGUAAUGUAACUUUAUGGUAAACCAAUCAGCCUGUCUGAAGUAAAUUAUAUUCGUUACUCGUAAAACGAAAAUUUUUGAAGUUUAAUUUAAAAUUAAAACGCUCUACCGUGCAGACUGUACUCGCAUGCACAGAUUAUUAAAUUAUUCAACGAUAGAAACGAACGGCGCUACUCGACUGUGCAACUGUGCGUUCUGCGCAGUAGCAUUUAUCGGCGGAAUAGCUGCAAGUGAUAGAGAGACAAACAUAACAAGAGAGCACACGAAACGUGAGAAAGUAUUCGACUGUUUUGUAUGUCUAUUAAUUUCGACCUGUCCUUUACACGCGUGCUUAAUUUCAAGAGCGACGCAUCGAAUACGUUGCCUGGCGUUCGGAUAAUUCUGUUCUAUUAGUCCUCUUUAUUCGUCCGAUCCAAUCGUCGAAACUCGGUUCGAACGAAACACGGCUUUAAUAAGUUUUAAUCGACUCGCGAGAAUGCAACUUAUACGAAUCUUCGCAUCUGUUUCUCGUAGCACGUUUAGGGAUCGAUACAAUGGACGAUUUUUACGAGUCAAAUAGAGAUCGUCGAAAAAGGAUAGAAUUUUCAAGUUUGUUCGAAAGAACGAGUCGUUAGUUUAGCCAUUACAUGAAAAUGACAUAAAUUAUGGUAAAUUCUAAAGUAAGUGUAAAGAAAAACAGUGUUUAUGAAUAACAUAACCAUUUCCCUGAACUAUUCGAUGUAUGCAAUUAAUUGCGAAAGGUUCUGAAAGGUUUAAUUAUUGAAGAAAUAAAACAAGAAAUUUUGAUGAAAUAUUUUUUUCCCAACGGUUGCAGUUUAAUUCGAACUUUAGGAAGUCGUUUAAACUCAUUUUCUUCUUUCGCGAGAGCAACAUUUAGUGGAAGCGAAGAUCAUAAACGCGACAAUCGAAAGUCUUGAAACGUUUUAGAAUUACAACAAAUAAUGAUUUUAUCCAAUCGAUAGGAUCUUGAUAUAUAUAUACGUAAACGUAUGUAGACAAAUUGAUAUAUUGUUUCAUACGUUAUUGCUCGUAUUCGCUCGUAAUAGUUUGCGGAUAUAAAACCUUCUAAUACAGAAUGAAAAUGUAUCAAGGUAUACAGUUUCGAUCCAAAGCUCAGAGAAUGGGAAUGUAAUAUUGGAUAAAGCAGAGUAAAAAAUACGCUUACAAAAAUAUUGGAUCAUUGAAUGAUUGAAAGAAAAUAUUGCACCUAUCAAAGAUUUGAAACCUGGUUUUAAAACUUUUGAAGGUUUAGAGUUUCAAAUACUAUUUUUCAAAUGUACAUAUGCGCUGUUCAAAUGGAUCUAAAAUCUGCAAAAGGAUUUCGUUAAAAAACGUAAUCUCUUCUGAAUCUUUUAAAAUCUAAAAAUAAUACAUCGACCUCGAAAAUGUUGGAAUUAUAAAUAUAUAUCGCAUUCGUACUGAAAAAUAGAGUUUUAAAUGAUGAAAUAAAACAGAUUAUCUAUUUUUAAGAAAGUCUUCUAUGUACGUAUUAUUUUAAAAUGGACUUUUUAACGAAUUCAAUCUUAUCAGAUGCUUCGAAAUCUUUUUCAGGCUAUUAACUUCGUCCCCGCCCCUUUUCGCUUAUUUCAUAAGUUGAUGCUGUCGGACUAACGGAUCGGUCGGACCGCUAUGCCAUCGACCACGAAAUACCUGCCUUCGGACAUUCGCCUAGAAAUCGGCGAUUCACCGCGCACGGCCCAUAAAACUCACUACAAUGCGUUCCAUAAAAAUAUCCGAUCCGCGAACGC